rnacentral:rRNA from 1 species
GACAAACGCUGGCGGUGUGCUUAACACAUGCAAGUCGAACGGUAAGGCCCUUUCGGGGGUACACGAGUGGCGAACGGGUGAGUAACACGUGAGUAACCUGCCCUCAUCUCUGGGAUAACAGUCGGAAACGGUUGCUAAUACUGGAUAUGAGCUUGCAAGGCAUCUUGUGGGUUGGAAAGAUUUUUUUUGGUUGGGGAUGGACUCGCGGCCUAUCGGCUUGUUGGUGAGGUAGUGGCUCACCAAGGCUUCGACGGGUAGCCGGCCUGAGAGGGCGACCGGCCACAUUGGGACUGAGAUACGGCCCAAACUCCUACGGGAGGCAGCAGUGGGGAAUAUUGCACAAUGGACGGAAGUCUGAUGCAGCAACGCCGCGUGCGGGAUGACGGCCUUCGGGUUGUAAACCGCUUUCAAUUGUGACGAAGCUUUUUUGUGACGGUAGCAGUAGAAGAAGCACCGGCUAACUACGUG